rnacentral:tRNA from 1 species
CUUAAAUUAGUUUAAUAUAAAAUUUUGAAUUGUGGAUUCAAGGAUGAUUUAGGAUCAUUAAGUA